rnacentral:rRNA from 1 species
AAUCUUCCACAAUGGGCGCAAGCCUGAUGGAGCAACGCCGCGUGAGUGAAGAAGGGUUUCGGCUCGUAAAACUCUGUUGUUAACGAAGAACGUAUCUGAGAGUAACUGUUCAGAUAGUGACGGUAUUUAACCAGAAAGCCACGGCUAACUACGUGCCAGCAGCCGCGGUAAUACGUAGGUGGCAAGCGUUAUCCGGAUUUAUUGGGCGUAAAGGGAGUGCAGGCGGUUAUUUAAGUCUGAUGUGAAAGCCUUCGGCUUAACCGGAGAAGGGCAUCGGAAACUGGAUAACUUGAGUGCAGAAGAGGGUAGUGGAACUCCAUGUGUAGCGGUGGAAUGCGUAGAUAUAUGGAAGAACACCAGUGGCGAAGGCGGCUACCUAGUCUGUAACUGACGCUGAGGCUCGAAAGCAUGGGUAGCAAACA